rnacentral:tRNA from 1 species
GCCAAUGUAGCUCAGUUGGUAGAGCAACGGUUUCGUAAACCGUGGGUCGUCGGUUCAAUUCCGACCAUUGGCU